GAGAAUUAUACUCCUCCCAUCCGUUCACAAAAAAGACCCUAGGGGUCUGUUUGAAAAUAAAGGAGAGGAGAGGCAGCUAGGGUGAAACCCUAGCGCCACCUCCUGUUCCCACCACCAAACCCGCCUAUCGUCGGUCAUGUCCCAUCGUAUUUGGCUAGUAGCGUGAGGAGAGAAGGCGAAGACAUUAAUGCUUUGUCCUUCUCCCCACAAAAUAGGGCCAAACGAACCCUUAAAGCCUCAGGCCCAACAGGACCUUUAUUCAAUUAAGAUCGAGUCCGAGAAGAAAAUAAGAGUGAGGCGCGCAGAAGGCCCAACCAUGGGUGAAAAUGGCCACUAGGGGCUUGGUACGCCCCUAAUUUUAAUUUAUUUCCGUAUAUGUAUGAUUUUAUUUGUAUGUAAUUAUGUGUAUUCAACUCAUAUUAUAGUGAAAAAUCCGUAUGAUU